AGCUAGAGUUUGAUCAUGGCUCAGGAUUAACGCUGGCGGCGUGCCUAACACAUGCAAGUCGAACGGACCUUUAUUUUUGAGACGCCCCAACCCUUGGAGCAUCCCAUAAAUAAUGGUUAGUGGCGCACGGGUGAGUAACGCGUGGGAACCUGCCCUGGAGUGUGGGAUAACCCGGCGAAAGCCGGGCUAAUACCGCAUACGACCUGAGGGUGAAAGAUUUAUCGCUCUAGGAGGGGCCCGCGUCGGAUUAGCUAGUUGGUGAGGUAACGGCUCACCAAGGCGAUGAUCCGUAGCUGGUCUGAGAGGAUGAUCAGCCACACUGGGACUGAGACACGGCCCAGACUCCUACGGGAGGCAGCAGUGGGGAAUAUUGGACAAUGGGGGCAACCCUGAUCCAGCAAUGCCGCGUGGGCGAUGAAGGCCUUCGGGUUGUAAAGCCCUUUUGCACGCGACGAUGAUGACGGUAGCGUGAGAAGAAGCCCCGGCUAACUUCGUGCCAGCAGCCGCGGUA
rnacentral:rRNA from 1 species